CAUAAUAAAAAUGGUGUAUGAGCUUUUAUAGCUCUAGCCAAACAAGAAGAAAAAGAAGAAGACCGAAUUCGCACCUUGUGCAGCAAGAACCAAAAAUCAGAACGGAUGUCUGCAGGCGAUGCUUUAAAUUCUUCACUACUGAUUACGUCAACACUGCGUAUGUUUGCCAUCCAUUUGGAUUGCUUCUAUGGACUUAACUCAACGAAGGUGUCAGAGAAUCAUGCUUAUUAUCACCGAUAUAAGUUUGUACAUUGGUAGUACUAGGCAUCAGUAUCAGAAUCUUUUUUAAGCACAAUUUUCACAACAUUGUGCUUUAUCAAGUUGUUUAUCAAAUCUGCCUUCAUCUUCUGCGCCUUACUUGUGGCAAUAAAUUUCUGCUUCCUGCGCAAGGCCUGUGGAACAAAAGAAUGAGAAGGCUCUUUUCUCACUACCUGGUUCCCACACUGAGAGCUAAUUAUGUACGAACAAUAUUAUAAUCUAGAUAAAAGAACAGUUUUGUUUGUGCAUAAAUACAUAGUAUGUUUAAAA